rnacentral:rRNA from 1 species
GAUGAACGCUAGCGGCAGGCCUAAUACAUGCAAGUCGAACGGGAUUGCGGUGUAGCUUGCUACACUGCAUGAGAGUGGCGCACGGGUGCGUAACGCGUGAGCAACCUACCCAUAUCAGGGGGAUAGCCCGGAGAAAUCCGGAUUAACACCGCAUGGGACAGUAUUACCGCAUGGUAUAGCUGUUAAAUAUUUAUAGGAUAUGGAUGGGCUCGCGUGACAUUAGCUAGUUGGUGGGGUAACGGCCCACCAAGGCGACGAUGUCUAGGGGCUCUGAGAGGAUAAUCCCCCACACUGGUACUGAGACACGGACCAGACUCCUACGGGAGGCAGCAGUAAGGAAUAUUGGUCAAUGGGCGGAAGCCUGAACCAGCCAUGCCGCGUGCAGGACGACUGCCCUAUGGGUUGUAAACUGCUUUUGUACGGGAAUAACCCUCUCUACGAGUAGAGAGCUGAACGUACCGUAAGAAUAAGGAUCGGCUAACUCCGUGCCAGCCGCCGCGGUAA